AAGAUAGCACAUAACAUAUAAUUUAUCCAUAUAUUGUUCAUAUGUAUGUAGAUAUAAGUCCAUAUAUCUAGAUAUAAAUCCAUAUAUCUUACAAGAAUGACUAUUUGGUCGAGGUUCAGUUUCUUGAAAAGGUUUGAGAGCCUUCAAUGGAGAUUUCGUUGUCACUAGUUGCCGGUGUAGAAGAAAGAACGAAGAAGGAGAAAAAAAGAUAAGAAAAACUAAAUUGAUAAAAUAGUUUGUCAAAAAGAUGAAUACAAGAUCGGAAAAUAUAAAAGGGAACGAAAAAAACCAAAAAAUAAAUACAAAACAAAACAGAGGGGAACACGGGAGCUACGGUAAGGAGAAAGAAGAUGUAGAGAUUAGAGAGAAACGUAACAACAUGAAAUAAAAUCUCCGAAGAGAAGAAAGAAAAAAAUACAAAAAAGAGAGGACUUACUUGUACUCGAUGAGAGAUCGUCGGAGUUAUGCCGGCUUGGUAGUGGUCUCACGACGGUGGAAGACGAUGGGUAAAGAGACGUUAGACAAACUAAAAAUUCCUUUUUCAAACGUACCCUUAGUUUAGUCAGUCACAUUGUUUCUUUUCUUUCUUGUAUGGCCAUAUAAUCU
rnacentral:lncRNA from 1 species